CAGUCAUAUGCUUCGUUCAAGGGCUAGGCCAUGCAUGUCUCAAAGCAAUCGGCUUGACAAAGGAUCUGUGAAUGGCUCCUUACAACAGCAGUCAUCUAUGUGAUAAAGUGGGGUUGGCACCACCUGCCAGGUGCCCAGUUGGACAUCCUCCAAAACCUUGUGGCUAAUACACGUCUGAAACAGUCGGCCAUGCCAUGGGUGUCAGUGGGCUCACCCCUGCUGUCACCCAGGGGUGGAUUGCACCCAGUUGAUAGGAAAACCAGUGCCCCACAAGGGCAGCGUGCUGUUCAGUUGACUCAAACUGGAUCCUCUGGAUCGGUUUUGCUGGCAAAGGGGGGGCCUCGGCCACAAACAUGCUUGAUCACAAAAACUUCUGACCUAUCACCUUGAACUGUGGUGUAGGGAACCACAGUGGCGGUGACGGGUGACAAAAAAUCAGGUUCAAUUCUGGAGAGGGAGCCUGAAAAACGGCUACCACUACCAAGGUGGGCAGCAGGCGCGCAAAUUACCCAAUGCAAAAACAUCCUUGUGAGGUAGCAACAAACCGCAGCAAUCCUGCCAGCCUUCUUUGCUGGUGGGACUUGAAAUGAAUGCAAUCCAAACACAGUGAUGAGUAUCAACU
rnacentral:rRNA from 1 species